rnacentral:piRNA from 1 species
UAAAAAAAGGAAGUGCUGGGGAGAUGGCUC